rnacentral:rRNA from 1 species
UAGCCGCGGUAAUACGAAGGGUGCAAGCGUUAAUCGGAAUUACUGGGCGUAAAGCGUGCGUAGGUGGUGGUUUAAGUCCGUUGUGAAAGCCCUGGGCUCAACCUGGGAAUUGCAGUGGAUACUGGGUCACUAGAGUGUGGUAGAGGAUAGUGGAAUUUCCGGUGUAGCAGUGAAAUGCGUAGAGAUCGGAAGGAACAUCUGUGGCGAAGGCGACUAUCUGGGCCAACACUGACACUGAGGCACGAAAGCGUGGGGAGCAAACAGGAUUAGAUACCCCUGUAGUCCCUGUCUCUUAUACACU